UACGAAGGGUUCAAGCGUUACUCGGAAUUACUGGGCGUAAAGCGUGAGUAGGUGGUUUCUUAAGUCUGCUGUGAAAGCCCCGGGCUCAACCUGGGAAUUGCAGUGGAUACUGGGGAGCUAGAGUGCGGUAGAGGGUAGUGGAAUUCCCGGUGUAGCGGUGAAAUGCGUAGAGAUCGGGAAGAACACCAGUGGCGAAGGCGGCUACCUGGACCAGCACUGACACUGAGUCACGAAAGCGUGGGGAGCAAACAGG
rnacentral:rRNA from 1 species